UCACAAUCACCUGCAAAAUCGGGCGAGUGUUAGCACAGAGACAGGGCUCCUCCCUUCCUUUCCUCUGGCCACUGAAAUUUGUUCAUCCCACAGACCUCAGGAACGGCGAACCCCCUUCUAAACACACAAGAAAACAUUCAAACGGCCCACAGUGCUCCCCCAUCCCAGCAGGCGUGGCGAUACGGCUGAUUGUGCCUCUCCAGAUGUUUACCAGUGUUGACCAUUUGUGUGGCCCUUGGAUUCUGGAUUCUGAAUUGCACCCUCUGUUUGAUCCACAACUGAAGAUGAUGACUGCCUCCCGUCCCCAGAAUCUAUCAGUAACCAACAGUUCCACAGGGCUGGGUAAGGCCCCCCAGGAGGACCUCCUGGAUCCGUGAUUGGCUGUUUGCAGGCCCGGUGCUGGUGGCCAAGGCUGCUGUGAAAUCAUGUUUGAAUUGGUUUUGCUGUGAAUAUAACAUUCUUCUUUUGACGUACUGUGCUUCACUAUGUAUGAACACUGAAACUGGUCUUCAACUUUCUUUAAAUUUUGUUUAUUUGGGGAGGGCACAUACAUGCAGUGAUCUUUGUGUGGAGGGCAAACGCAGCUGUAGACAGUCAGCGCGCUCCUGCAUUUAAGUCUGUGGACCAAACCCAGGUUUUGGCGCCAGGUGCCUUUAUCUGCUAAGCCAUCUCGCCAGCUCCGUAGUUAAUUUUUUUUUUCAUUAAAAGUUAUUACUUUUUGAAUUUUACCCAGAGACACUACACAUUCAUUAUAUCCUAUCCUUCUAAUAAUGAUACAAUGUAGGAGUUGCUUUGUUUUAUAAAUGCAGAAACUGUAGUUAUCUGGUUACUAACUUGCCCAAGGCCACCAAGAUGCUGCUCAUUAUCAACGCUGACAUUUUCAUGAAGGUUCGGCUGACUCUGCAAUUUGUCUCGGCAGCUGAUCUUCAGUUGCUAAACGUUUAGGCCAUCUCCAUAGUUUGGUGGUAGAAACAAGUUAUGAUUAGUAACCUGCUAGUUAAUCCUUUGCAAUACUCUUAAUUGUAAUGUGAUUGGGGGAUUCGCGCAGGGAAAAAUGAAGGCAUUCGCUCAGCCCACUGAGUCAUCUUGUUUCACUCAUGUCUGAUUACUUCGGCGGCGUAUUUCACCAAGCUAGCCAUGGGGCCCACCUCACAAGGUAUUUAUGGGCCUCCAUCCCACCUCACGGGGGCUGAGUAGAAGAAAAAGAAACCUGACAAAGAAUGUGUAAUUAUUGCCAGGUGGUAGGGCCCUGUGAGCACCAUGGAAGCUAAGCUGUAAGGUUUCCCCUGAGGAUGCAGACCCCUGGCCAUCCAUCCACACAGCCCCUUUCUCAGUCUAAGCAGAGUACCUGUUACUGUUACAGGGGACCGUUUCUAGUGCCAUUGCUCAGAAUCAAGGCACUCAGGUGCUCUGCGCCGCUCCUGAUAGCAGCCUGAGUCCCGUAACUUCACAAGCAGGGCUUUCCUGUUCUGCUCAGGGGGCCAUGCUGUUGCUGGUCUGUUUUUAUGUUCUUUUUACAGACUGCCUCACAAAGGCCCUCCCAUGACUGAAUAAUGUCGUAAAACUCUGGAGAAGGGGAAAAGAGCACCCUCUGGCCCUGACAAACGACCCUGACUUCUACCCCUGACUUCUACGACAAGGUCGCUCAGCUAGGACACAAGGACAAGGCAAAAAUGGCAGCCAAGAAAAAAAAAGAGAACUUGGGUUCCUCUACCACAUGGGAAAGAAUUCAUGCAACAAUUCAAAUGUGCUUGGACCAGGAUCCAGAGAUGGAUAAGAAUUCAGGCCAGCCACUGCCUGACUUUGACCCUCCACACAGGACUCAGGCUGGUGUCCUGGGUUUUACAAGAAAGCAGGCUGAGCAAGCCAUGGGAAGCAAGCCAGUGAGCAGCAUCCCUCCAUUGCCUGCGCAUCAGCUCCUGCCUCUGGGUUCCAGUCCUGACUUCCUUCGGUGAUGAACAGCAAUGUAGAAGUGUAAGCCAAAUGAACCCUUUCCUCCCUGUGAUGGUUUGUAUAUGCUUGUCCAGGGCGUGGCACUAUUAGGAGGUGUGGCCAUGUUGGAAUAGGUGUGUUACUGUGGGCGUGGGCUUAAGACCCUCAUCUUAGCUGCCCGGAAGUCAGUAUUCUGCUAGCAGCCUCUAGAUGAAGAUGUAGAACUCUCAGCUCCUCCUGCACCAGGCCUGUCUGGAUGCUGCCAUGCUCCACCUUGCUGAUAAUGAACUGAACCUCUGAACCUGUAAGCCGGCCCCAAUUAAAUGUUGUCCUUAUAAGAGCUGCCUUGGUCAAGAUGUCUGUUCACAGCAAUAAAACCCUAACUAAGACACUCCCCAACUUGCUUUUUUUUUUUUUUUUUUUUGGUUCUUUUUUUCGGAGCUGGGGACCGAACCCAGGGCCUUGCGCUUCCUAGGUAAGCGCUCUACCACUGAGCUAAAUCCCCAGCCCCCCCAACUUGCUUUUUGAUCAUGGUCUUUCAUUGCAGCAGUAAAAACCCUAACUAGGAUACUUCCUAAGUCUGAAGCUCCCUGGGGUUCCCUUCAGGGCUUUGCCACACUUAGAAUCUUGUGAGGUCCUCCCCUCCUUUAAUGACUAUGAUGGUCCCUAGUUAGAUCUAGCCAACUAGGGUAGUCGGUGAUACAUGUGGUAUCUGUGGGGCUAACAUCGACUUGGAAUGUUGCCCUGAAGCUCCCUUGGGGUACAUUGAUGUCAGCAUGCCACUUGGUUUGAAUAUAUUAGAUAUGAGACAGUACUGAGUAUGGCCUUGUGGGAAGACACCCCAUUGGUUUCCAUGGCUUCCCACAGGCAGUGUUUUUCUUUGCAUGGUGCAAUAGGGAUGUGAGUUCUAGCACUGAGAUAGCAGUGGCUGCUACUUCAAGAAUAUCCAGGAGAAGAACAAAGGCAGCUCACGAAGAAGCACGCAGCCGAGAGACAGAGAGUGGACACAAGCCCGAGAACACCCCAUCCCCUGGACCAUACCUUGUCCACAGUGGACCCAUGCUGAAUUCUGCAGUUCUAGAGGAAAAUAAGUCCUCUUUAGGCCUUAGUCCAAUUUGGUGUGGGUUUUCUGCUGUUUGAGACGAAAAGUUUUGUGUCUGAUACAAAUGGGUUCCAAGAAAACCCACAGAAAUGAAACAAGAGAUUUCUCAGGCUUUCGUGCAUCGACAGAACACUAAGGAGGCAUAUCCGAACCAACAGGUUUCCUGUGUCAGCAUCAAGUUAACUGAAAACAGUCAGCCCACUGGAAGGUGACCAAGAACAUCGAGAGAAGACUCUUCACAGCAGCCUAAAACUAGGAGCGAGUGAAUGUCUAACAGGGUGAUGGAUGCCCUGUGGUUUGUUAAAAUAGGAGCUGCGGGGCACACCCCAAGUCCCUGUGAGCCCCACAGAUACCACAGCAAACACAAUCAAUCAGACCCCAGUGUGCCUUUUAGAUACUGUGGGACUCCACUGAUGUCUUCAAAUAAGUGUAGACCUACCAUGUAAUUAACUCAAACACUAUAGAAGAUACUUAUCCUAAAUAUGCACACUUCUCACUCGGAGGAGCUGAGUCGGAACAGCGUUGGGGUCGGAACCCGCUCGUCUGCAUAUUGUUCUGCUCUGAACGCUGAUGAAAUUCUCCAGGUGCCCCUCCCCCCUCUUUAGCUUUGGGGACAGGCCAAGGGACAGCAGGUGCCUCAGCCUAGCACGUGAGCAUCCUUCAUCUGUUCCUUUUUGUUUGUUAAGCCACAUGUUCCCCAAAGCUGCUGCAAAGUAUUUCAAGGUGACCAUGAGGAAUCUCCUUAGAGCCCCGAGUCCAUCUCAAACAGCUGUGUGCUCCCCUCAUCCUGAGCUCUAGACGGUUUCCAGAAUACCAUGGCUCCGCUUAGGAUUCAUCCACCUUACACAGCGGAGACUGAACCCCAAACUUUACAGGUUGCUCUUUCCCAGGCUAGAUCUCUUGGCUGGCUGAAUGCAGCCAGUGUUGGGAGAAUGCUCUGUGGCUUGUUAGAACAGGGGUCUCAGGGCAACACCUCAAGUCCGUGGUGAGCCCCACAGAUACCAUGGUAAAUACAAGCAGUCAGACUCCAGUAGGUUGCCAACCUAGGCCACACAGGAGGCUACAUGGGUCGUAUGCAUUUCUGCCUUCCAAUGUCUCCCUACAAGAUGCUUUAUUUUUUAUUUAUUUAUUUAUUUUGGUUCUUUUUUUUUUCGGAGCUGGGGACCGAACCCAGGGCCUUGCGCUUCCUAGGCAAGCGCUCUACCACUGAGCUAAAUCCCCAACCCCAACAAGAUGCUUUAUUCUGGAAGCAGUCCUAUUAAAUGCACAGGUCUGCUUGUUGUCCCCCUUCUCCUUGAGACUUCCUCUUCCCUCGGCCGGUGGCUGCCUUCUUCUGGUUCUCUUCCUCUGUGCUGAUCGGCCCUCCUCAGCUUUCAUUCUCCAGCCUCUCCUCUCACAUCUGGCCUCUUCAUGCUAGGCUGACUCUGUGGUUUUACAGAGUAACUUCUCAGCCGCUGUUAGGCCUUGCGUAUGCUCAGAGACCCGAGCAUGGUCACUCACAGUCUCAUGCUGAGACAUCUUCUGUUCUUAGCACUUGCAGACUAUAGUGCAUGCCUCUACUCGGAGCUCACAGAGACACACUGAGCCUGCUAGGUGCUUUCUCUCAGGUCCACACCCACAUUUGCCGUGGUCACAGUCAACCUGCAAGGCUCUGACUCACCUUUCCCAACUAUCCUGCAAUCCCAUGCCUAUAAAAUCUGGGCCUAUAAAACACUAUACCUCAUGGACCAGUUUUUAUGUCAAUUAGACACAAGCUAGAGUCAUUUGGAAAGAGAGAACUUGAGAAAAUGCCCCCGCUAGAUAGUCCUGGGGGCAUUUUUUUUUUUUUUUUGGUUAAUGACUGAUUCGGGAGGGUACAGCUCACUGUGGGUGGUGCCACCCCAAAGCAUGUGGUCCUGGUGCUGUAAGAAAUAAGACUGAGCAAGCCAUGAAGAGCUGGUCACAAAUCAUUGUUCUCUCUAUGACUUCUGCACCGGCUCCGUCUUGAGUCACUGCCUGACUUCCCUGGAUGAUAGAUUAUAAGCUGAAAGACGCAAUAAACACUCUCCUGCCCAAGCUGCUUUUGGCCAUGUUUUUUCAUCACAGCAACAGAAACUCUAACGGAGACAAUACCGUUGUUUAUUUCUAUGCAGGACUCUCUCAAGACCCAAUUCUUUCCUUCCGUUUCCAAAUCCGUUCCAGUAGUUCCUUGGUUCUAGCUGCCAUCUGCCCAAAACAUCCUCAGAUCAGCACAAAUCUAGUUAUGCGCCCUUGCACCUCCUCCACCUCUCCCUUGAUUUGUUGGGCUCUCAAUCUGUUCUUCUGACCAUUCCUGCCUCCCCAGAUCCAACGAAAAGAUCUUUCUGGAUGGAGGGAGGAGGCUGACAUGGGGCAGAAGCACAGAGUAGGCAUCUUUGGGUGGCCAGAAGACAGUAUCACAAGGGAAGUAAGUGGCAGAGAUGAAAUUGGAGGGGCAGGCACAGACUGAAAAGGUCAUUCUAAGCACCACUGAGAGAGAUGGCCAGAGGGGCACAGGGGGCUGAAGGACGGUAACAGUGCUGGAAGCUGCGGUGGGGUUGACCCCGAAAGCCCCACCCACCCAUGAAGUUACCAGAGUCAGGCUACCAUGGGGGGUGGGGCGGGUAAUGUGAAGCUUGGUGCUUUGUUCCUGUGGAGUGGAAACAGAACCUGUGUGUGUGUGUGUGUUGUGUGUGUGUGUGUGUGUGUGUGUGUGUGUGUGUGUGUGUGUGAGAGAGAGAGAGAGAGAGGGAGAGAGAGAGAGAGGAGAGAUAUUUUUGCAGAGAAAGGCACUGUCAUGGAUAACCUCCCUCUCUCUUCCACUUUAGGAAAACAGAGCAAGACUGAGAGAAGGGAGGAAAGCCUUGGCUUGACUUGAAAAAGAAAUGGGGUGAAGGUGAGGGUGGAGAGGAAGGAAAAUAAAAAUCUGUCCUAGACUUUUUAUUGUUAAAAGUAGGAUUUGCAAGACAUUCAAUAAACGAGGCUCCAGAUUAUCAAAUAGUGUGAGAGUGGGCCAAAUCACUUUAUUUUUGUUUGUUUGUUUGUUUUUCUCCUAUUUACACACCCCAAUGGCCUUUCAAACUGCUAUUGUGAGGAAUAUAAUUGACAUUGGGAAAUGGGAUGAAUUAUUAAUUUCUAAAGGAUGCACCGUGCUGUCUCCUCACCUGCUUCUGUCCCCAUCAGCCCC